GUGGAGAACGCGGCUGCUGCAUCCAUCACACACCGACACUGGAUCAGUGGAGCGGAUGGUUGUAUCGGGUGGUAGUCCCAGCUCCGACCACUAGAUGGUGCUUUUACAAAUGACCCUUUCCUGCUUCAGCACGGUAGUUUCCCCGUGUACAAAGCCAGGUCAGGACCUCUGGGAUGAACUGGAACGCCGACUGCGAGCCAUUGGCCAGCAUCAGCGUUGGACCAGACUUACACUCUUGUGUCUGAAUGGCAGGAAAUCCCUGCAGCCAGGUUCCAAACUAUAGUGGAAAGCCUUCCCAGAAGGGUGGAGGUUGUUACAGCAGAAUAUUUGAUUGGCUAAUAAUCACAUCAUGGGUCUAAUGUAGAAAAUCAAAUAUCCGUGCAAUCCUUAAGAAUCUUAGAAAUAGACCUGCAAUAAAUUUGGUAUUUUGUAGACCCACAUAUGAAGAGUAAUUUCAUCACUUCUCGGUAUUGAGGUGAAUCAUGACAUUUGGAAGCAAUCAAAUCUUUGGAGGAAUGAGUUAAUCAUGAGUAGUGGUGGGAAUGUAACUAAGUACAUUUACUCAACUACUGUAGUACAAAGUUGAUUUGAGUAUUUCCAUUUUAUGCUACUGAUAUGAUAUUCCACAUGUGACUGAUUUUGAAUGUGAUUUCUUUCUGAUAAACAGCAGGAUUAAGUGUACCUUUAUGAGUUCUCUUACUUCUUAAGUUAAAUAAACUAUUUAAAACCC